CAUUUUUAAACAGGCUUCCAAAUUAAAAAGGCCCAAAAUCCCUCCCUCGCAUAUUUUACCAAAAUAUACAUCCCGGCCGCGCGUUUUCUGCCCUAAGAAAUUGAGAAAUUCUAAUCCUAAAUCCUUCCCUGCGUUAAUUUCUCCUCAUCUCCAUCUCUCAUUCGCGCGGUCGACCAAGGAAUUCGAUGAAUUUCUUUGCCUCUCUAUCUCUCUUUUGGUAUUGGAAAUUUGUGAAUCGUUGCUUAAUUUCUCCUCAGCUGUAUCUCUUUUUCGAUUUGGAGGAUUUUGUGAAUUUCUCCGCCUUUGCAUCUUUCUGUCGGUCUAGAUUUUAUUUCUUCAAUUGUGGAAGGGAAGUGUUGACAGAUAUACGGUUUGAAUCGGGAAAUUGGUGGAAAUAGCUUCUUCACAUACUUGGGAAGGUGUGAAAAAAUAUUAUGUGAUUAUUUCACAUAGUGGAAUCAUUAGAUUGAGGGUUGCGUGAUGCAUCUAUACGUCUGUACCAUAUUUCUUGUUCACAGUCAGUUGAAACAGAUUGUGUUUCUACAAUAUUUGACUUUAAUUUUCAGAAUUCUAUAUUACACUUCUGUAAUCAUAGAGAAGACAUCUUCUUCGCAGAACUCGUGGAUGAUGUUAGACAUGGUCUCCCCAAUUCUUUGAGAACAUUAAAAUAGGCAAAACCAUUUUGAUUACAUUGUAUAAUCUGCGAUUUGAGAAUUUCCUUGAACUGCAUAUUGUUUGCAUCAUCAGCAUGUUACAAUGAGAUAGAUAAUUGUCUAUAUAGUUUGCAAUCUGUCAGAUCAAUUCUAGGUAAGAGUUUAUUCUUAUUAUUGAAUAUGUGAUUUAGGAUAAGAAUUUUCACGCC